AAAGAUGCAUAAAGUGGAUCAAUUUUAUUAUCAGGUGGUGAUGGAUUAUGAGGAGCAAAAUGAUGAAAAAUACGAUGAAGAUGAUGAACAAGAUCAGGAGGAAGAUGAGGAACAAUUUUAUUAACAGAAGCAGAAAGUCCAUGAGGAACAAGGAUAAGGGAAGCAAGGAACAACACUUGUAAGGAUUGGAAAAAGGAGGCCAUAUUUGAAGUUGUGAUUUGUGUGUGCAUAACAUAUAUGGGAUAACCAAGUUUUAUACUAAUCAAGUGCAUAACACUCUUAGGUUUCCAUUGGAUUUUUCUGUGUUGAUUAUUCAAAAAUGUACAACUAUUAUGGCCCAUCGGGUUGUUACAAGUUAUCACUCUAACCAUUAAUGACGACAUGGUUUUAAAAUUGUAUAAUUGCUACGGAAGUUAAUUGACUAGCUUAUUAUUUCUGUCCAUUACUUUCUAUUCCGUAUUCUCCAUCAAAAAUAAUUGCAAGCAAAAUAUUUGUACUAUUUCCAUCGUUUGGUAUAUUAUCUUUCUUGUCCCUAUGUCACUAAGAAAUAAUUUAUUGUUCACAUUUUGAAAUGAUAUCAUUAAAAAAUGGAGGGUCUUAUAGUAUGUGAAAUUUUGUUGAAUCCAGUUCCAAAUAUUCACAAGACAAAAUCAAUUUAACAAUUAAAUGUAAUUUUAAAAUAUUAAAUAUAAAAAAAAAUAUUAUUAAAUGGUUAGAUGUAACCAAACUCUAAAUUAUCAAUUUUUAUGUUAAAUGUAAAAAUAUUUUAAGCCAUUAAACUUUUUUAUAAAUGAAUGUAAAUAAAGAGGCUAGAAAUAACCUAAUUGGAGUACCUUUGUAGCAGUUUUAGUUCCUCCAAAUAAAGCAUCAUGCCAUGCUGACAAGAUCUGGCUUGCCUCUAGGUACACUACAAGAAAAAUGAUAAGUUAUUUUUGAAAGGUUACGCCAUUUUGAACCAUAUCAAUAGUUGCGUCACAAAGGUUGUGGUUCUGAAACAAAAUUACUUAUAGUUUUCUUUCAACUUUCUUUCAUAUUUGUCCAUUUUUCAAAACAACAAAUUGAUAUUUCAAUAUUGUUAUUUAAUUAAUCUUGUGUUUAAAGAUUUGUAUGUGUUAACUAACUCAUAGAUUGAACCUAUGUUUGUAGGGAUCAAUGACCCUAAAUCAAUGAACUUGAACUGUAUUAACUGUUCAACUUGGUAAUUUAUUUAGGAAUAAAUAAUUUAAAAUUGUGAUUUAAGGUUUAACGUACCAUAUUUGUCUAUUUUAACUUCAAACUUAUCUAAGAGAUUAUGGAGCUGUCAUGUAAAAUAGUGAGUUACAUACCAAGAAAAUGAGUUUUAUUAAUAUAAUUAGUGUACAAUUUUUAAUUAAAAAUCAAAAUAAAAUAUUGACGUCUAAAUUUAGAGAUAUCACCACGGUCCUUCAAAAAAACCAUGGUAACAUUGAAUUUGUUGUAUAUAUUUUUUUGUAGCAGUGACUUCUUUACUACGAACCGCCAACUAUGAUAAAACUUUUUUCACGGCCAAUGUGAUAUAUUUUUUUUACCACACCAAAAUCAAAAUGAAUGUUUUUUACCACACUCUAAAUCUCCGUAGCAAGAUUACAAUUUGACCACUGUUUUGUAAAUUGUUGCUAAUCUUAUUUGCUAAAAUUUUAGUAAAUAUAAGUAAUAUAUGGUAUUAAUUGUAUUUUCCACGAUGUUUAUGCCAAUAUCUUAAAACAAUAUUAUAAUAUGAGAUGGAUAAUAUUAUGAACAGAUGAAAGAUUACCAACAAAAUCUCAAAUGCAUAAACUUUAUUUAUUUGUAUAGGAGAACAAAACACAACUUUCUCUCAAUGAUUUAUAUUCAAUUCGCACAUGUAUAGAUGCUCUCCUAUCAUGGUAAAACCUGAUACAAAAUAAAAAUAGAUAUAAAACGAAAGGGGAUUAACCCAAUAAGGUACGUAGGCAAAGUCAAGCAUUGGGUAACUAAGUGCUAAAUAGGCACCUCAUUAUUUAAUAAAAUAUAUAUUAAUAUGCUUUGUUGACGCAUGAAUUUAGAUAUGAAUUUUAUCUGCUGGAAUUUUCUAAUGAUAUGGUGCUUAGGAAUCAUUUGGUAGUUUGUAAGAACGGUGUGAAGAUGCAUAAAGUGGGAUCAAUUUUAUUAUCAGUUGGUGGAAUGAUGAGGAGGAGUAAAAGAUGAAAAUAUGAUGAAGAUGAAGAGAGAUGAAUGAAAUAUAGGUGGAAAAGAAACAGAAAGUCCAUGAGGAACAAGGAAAGGGCAGCAAAGGAAACAACACUUUGUAAGGAUUGAUGAAAAGGAGGGGGCCAUAUUUGAGUUGUGAUUUGUGGUGAUAACAUAUAUGGGAUAACCAAGUUUUAAUACUUCAAUGCAUAACAUACCACUCUUCGGUCCUCCAAUUGGAUUUUUCGUGUUGAUUAUCAAAAUUACCACUAUUAUGGCCAUCGAUUGUUUUUUAAAGUUAAUCACUCUAACCAUAAAUGACGAACAUGGUUUUAAAAACUGUAUAAUUGCUACGGAAAGUUAAUUGACUAGCUUAUUAUUUGUGUCCAUUUUAACUUUCUAUUCCAUGCGUUUGGUAAUCAACUCUAUCUUUCUUGUCCUAUGCCCACUCAAAAAUAAUUUCUUUUUUCAAUAUUUAUAACAAGUAACGUUGUNNNNNNNNNNNNNNNNNNNNNNNNNNNNNNNNNNNNNNNNNNNNNNNNNAAUUUUAGUAAAUAUAAGUAAUAUAUGGUAUUAAUUGUAUUUUCCACGAUGUUUAUGCCAAUAUCUUAAAACAAUAUUAUAAUAUGAGAUGGAUAAUAUUAUGAACAGAUGAAAGAUUACCAACAAAAUCUCAAAUGCAUAAACUUUAUUUAUUUGUAAAUAGGAGAACAAAACACAACUUUCUCUCAUGAUUUAUAUUCAUUCCACAUGUAUAAUGCUCUCCUAUCAUGGUAAACUGAUACAAAAUAAAAAUAGAUAUAAAACGAAGGGAUUAAACCCAUAAGUACGUAGGCAAAGUCAAGCAUUGGUAACUAAGUGCUAAAUAGCACCACUUAUUUAAUAAAAUAUAUAUUAAUAUGCUUUGUUGGACGCAUGAUUUAGAUAUGAAUUUUAUCUGCUGGAAUUUUUCUAUGAUAUGGUGGCUUAGAAUCAGUUGGUGGUUUGUAAGGACGGGGUGAAGAUGCAUAAAGUGGAUCAAUUUUAUUAUCAGGUGGUGAUGGAUUAUGAGGAGCAAAAUGAUGAAAAAUACGAUGAAGAUGAUGAACAAGAUCAGGAGGAAGAUGAGGAACAAUUUUAUUAACAGAAACAGAAAGUCCAUGAGGAACAAGGAUAAGGGAAGCAAGGAACAACACUUGUAAGGAUUGGAAAAAGGAGGCCAUAUUUGAAGUUGUGAUUUGUGUGUGCAUAACAUAUAUGGGAUAACCAAGUUUUAUACUAAUCAAGUGCAUAACACUCUUAGGUUUCCAUUGGAUUUUUCUGUGUUGAUUAUUCAAAAAUGUACAACUAUUAUGGCCCAUCGGGUUGUUACAAGUUAUCACUCUAACCAUUAAUGACGACAUGGUUUUAAAAUUGUAUAAUUGCUACGGAAGUUAAUUGACUAGCUUAUUAUUUCUGUCCAUUACUUUCUAUUCCGUAUUCUCCAUCAAAAAUAAUUGCAAGCAAAAUAUUUGUACUAUUUCCAUCGUUUGGUAUAUUAUCUUUCUUGUCCCUAUGUCACUAAGAAAUAAUUUAUUGUUCACAUUUUGAAAUGAUAUCAUUAAAAAAUGGAGGGUCUUAUAGUAUGUGAAAUUUUGUUGAAUCCAGUUCCAAAUAUUCACAAGACAAAAUCAAUUUAACAAUUAAAUGUAAUUUUAAAAUAUUAAAUAUAAAAAAAAAUAUUAUUAAAUGGUUAGAUGUAACCAAACUCUAAAUUAUCAAUUUUUAUGUUAAAUGUAAAAAUAUUUUAAGCCAUUAAACUUUUUUAUAAAUGAAUGUAAAUAAAGAGGCUAGAAAUAACCUAAUUGGAGUACCUUUGUAGCAGUUUUAGUUCCUCCAAAUAAAGCAUCAUGCCAUGCUGACAAGAUCUGGCUUGCCUCUAGGUACACUACAAGAAAAAUGAUAAGUUAUUUUUGAAAGGUUACGCCAUUUUGAACCAUAUCAAUAGUUGCGUCACAAAGGUUGUGGUUCUGAAACAAAAGCGUGUGUCGUUAGGUUGUACUGCUUCGGUUGCUAAAAUCGUCAUUCCAACAAAUGUUCUAAAUUGCGACAGGUAGUCAACUGCAGUAAAUGGACAAUUGCGACAGUUACAAACCGUCAUAAAUUUAGUUUGAGUUAUGUUUUCAACUCUAGUUGCGACGAAUUCAAAAUAUCGUGAGUGUGAUAUCCUAACUGUUCAAACCAUCACAAUUUGAUUUAUAAAUUCUGAAAUAAUUUAUUUGAUAACUGUUUAAAGCGAUACUAAUUUUUAAACUUUUAGCAAUGGUUUCAAGUCGUCGUGAGUGUGAAAUCCUGACAGUUUAAACCAUCGUAAGUUGAUUUAUAAGUUAUGAUAUAUAAUUUAUUUGGUAACUGUUUAAAACGAUGCUAGUAUUUUUAUAUUUCUUUAAUUUAUUAACAUUUCAAUUUUUUUAUUUAUAGUCAUGUUUUUUUUCUUUAAAUUAUUAUUUUUGUUUUAGUAAUAUUUCUUUAAGUUUUUUAUUUAUUUUCUAUCACUUUAUAACAUAAUAAAAUUUCAAUCACAAACAUCUAAUAUCGGAUAAGUAUCAUAAUACCAAAAAAUUGUGGCUUUAAUCAUGUCAUGUAGUACAAUAAAACGAAAACAUAUCAAAUCCUAAUGUUAUAAUAAUAAGCAUCAUAAUGCCAAAAAACAUAGGAACGUUCAUAAUACAAUUAAUUUGUAGCAAAUUCUAAUUAGUUGUUCUUAAUGAUCUAUUAUCUUCAAUACGGUAGCUAGACUCAGAAGAAUAUUUACUGUCAAUGAGUGAUUCUAAGUGUGAUCCUUAGAAAAAAUCUAAUAAAAUAAUAUACUCUUUAAAAUAAUACUCGUGAUCUUUAACAUUUCUCAACUUUUCUCCAGUCUCCAAUGGUGUAACAGUUGCAUUAUAGUUACUCAUCAUGAACCUCUGCAAGAUUUCUUAGGCUUACUUCGCUUGAUGCUGAUGUAAGACCCUAAUUUUAACCCUAAGAUCCCUCAUGGGAUCAUGUUAUUGCACAAGUGCAUUGCCUCAAGGAUCAUAGCAUGUUUGGCUCCUUAACCCUAGGGUUGGGACUUGUUUGAGUGUUUUGAGACCACCAAGCAUGCUUGUAUUGUAUAUUAUUGCUUCUCUUAUUUGAUUACUAACCAAAAGCACAAAAAUAUGUCACUAACUCUUUUUGUUUUGAAGCUCAAGUGAUCAUGUGCUCCACAAUGCUCUUAGGAGGCUCCUAAGCCCAAUGCAAUGGCUAGAUGAAGAUGAGAAAAAGCAUGAAAAUGGUCCACAAAGCUCCUAAUAAUCAUAUAUGUCUCCCAAGGAAACCCUAAUUUCACUGUGCUUUGACUGUGCCUUGCCCAUGAAGCAAUCUCAAUCUCUGAUCAAAUUUAAUCAAGGGAAGUUCUUUCAUUUAUCAUUUUAUGCAUAUAUAAGCCUAUUUGAGGCCCCUCAAUCAUUUAUUCAUCAAGAUUGGAAGUUUGACUUUGAAAAGUUGACCACUUAAGUCAUCUGACUAAGCUGAGGUUCAAUGAGCUAUAAUUUUUAAUGUGUUUGUCAAAUGAAGAUGACCCAAAAAUAAAUAAUUCUCCUAAUAACCAUAUUAACAACUUUCAUGUUCAUCCAAAUCCAUUUGAAACUUGGAAGGUUAUCAUUAAUUUCAAAAUAUUAGAGGUCAUUUUGACCGAAACCCUAAUUUUGGGUCAACUUGACAAGGGCAUAACUUCCUUAAUUUUUAUGUUGUACAAAACUUCAUAAUCCUAAAAUAAAUACAUGUGAUAAUGCAAAACAUUAUAGGUCCUCUUGGACCUAAUUCAUUGAAUUUGCAAAAGUACCCAACUUCAAAUGCCCAUAACUUUGUCAUAGAAAAUCCAAAUGAUGCAAACUUUGAGUCUAGAUUGACCCUCUUGAAACUAUUUACAACUUUGAUGUUGGAGAUUUUUUCAAUUGAAGCUUGUACCAUGAAGGCAGAGGGGCUUGAUUAAGCUUACUUUUGGGUGACUUUUUCAAAAUGAUUUGAAUAUGUUUUAUACUUGAAUUUUCCAAGCCAGUUUUGAUCAAUUUGAUGCCAAAUGAUUACUUGUUUUAAUUACUUGUUUUAAUUCGUUGUGUUGCGCGUUUGACUUGAGCAUAUCGUGUGUCCUCAGAUCCAGACCAUACAUCAGUGCCACGUCAAUUAAUGAACUGGAUCUUGUGGCUCUGCUUCUUCGCUUAUUUCAUUUUUUCUUUUAUAUUCUUUUAAUUCAUUUCGUUUUCAAAAAUUCAUUAAAAAUUCAUUUUAGGUCAGAAAAAUAUGAGACCAACUCUAAAAAUUUUCUUGAAAAUUCUAGUUUCAUAUUAUGAUUUUUAAUUAUUUUUGUGACUUCAUUUGAUAUUUUUUAUGAAUUACUUGGUUUUUAAUGAGUUUAAUUCAUUUUUAAAAUACUUUCUGACUUUUAAAAAAUACAAAAAUAUUUUCAUAGCAUCUAUGGAUCAUGAUAAGUCAAUGAAAAAUGGUCUCAACAAUUUCUUGGUUGUUUUUAGUUGAUUUUAAUUACUUUCUGAUUUUAAAAAUUUGUGAGAAAAUUAGUCAAAGUUUGUUUGACUAUGUUAAACCUAUGAGAAUUUAAUUGGAAUUUUUGAAGUUACUUUGAAUUGAAUUUGAGGUUCCAUUUUGUUUGUUUAUUUUUUAUUUGUAUUUUCUUCUAAUUCAAAAAAUACCAAAAAAAUAUUGUGGACUCCUUGACUUGUUAUAUUAUUGGAAUUUUUGAAGUUACUUUGAAUUGAAUUUGAGGUUCCAUUUUGUUUGUUUAUUUUUUAUUUGUAUUUUCUUCUAAUUCAAAAAAUACCAAAAAAAUAUUGUGGACUCCUUGACUUGUUAUAUUCAUUUCUCUUUUGUUUGGUGUUGAUUGAGGUUGAAUUGAUUCAACUUUGAUCAAAUUCAUUGGAUCUUGUGGUUUGAGAAUCCUUAAAGAUCAUCACUUAGAAAGAUGAAUGAAUUUGAUCAAGGAUGAGUUAUCCCUUGAUCAAUUGGGAUUGGUUGUUGUUGAACGUAUAUUUACGUGUCGGGUUUUUGUUAUCGUAUCCACAGGGAUUGUAAGAUAUCACCGCCGUUCGAUGGUUGUAUUAAUUCUAGCUCAAUGAAACAAUAGGGUUUUGAUUGGUUGUCACGUUAUCUUGCAUAAAAAGGUAUUAAAUUGCGGUAAAAGUUAUGGUUUGAAUAAAUGAGAAAUAUUGCCAAAGUUAGGGUUCAAUGAUUACUUUGCAUCCUUUAGUUGGUCGAACAAUCUUAUAACUCCUUCUCCAGAUGAAAUUUUCCAAGGUCCUCUCAAAUUGCGUUUCUCUCGCAGCAGCUGACCCAAUAUGUGGUUUGCAUUUUGAUCCAUUGUUUUUCUCAUCGAACACAAUCUAUCUAAAAGUGACACUUUUGUUCAACCUUGAUGGUGAAAUAAAAAUCAUUCUAUGUAACUAUCUCUAGCAACAACAAGAUUGGAUGAA
rnacentral:lncRNA from 1 species